UUUUUCUUCAUACCACUCGCUAUUUUACAUGCUCAUAUGCAUAUCUUUAUUUUUAGUAAUAAGCCAAUAAUAAUAAUAAAACCCUGCCCCGUUUUAAGUGUUUUAACCCUUGAUCACUGAUACCCUGUCCGACUGACGUAGGGCCCCGUAACGUAUGUCAAGGCUCUGCCUAAAUUCGUUGGGGUUCUGUCUCGUGACGUAGGGAUAAAGUAGAAUUGGGUUACUAUACUUAAUGUGGGUGCACUAUAUAUUUUAUUAAAUAAUCCUGGAGUUGUACCCAAAAUAUAACAACCCUCCCGAAUAUUUUUCUGACACCCUACACUUUCUAAAAUACACCCCGUAUGUGAAAACUAAACCCGAAAUAUAAUAUAACAUUGAAACUAAUGGAAAACAAGAAAAAGUAAGUUGAGGCGGGCCGCGUAGACCCACCCCAAACCUUACGCGGGCGGUAUGAAGGUUUAGACCUGAAUUCGUUGAGUUUUAAGCUUAGGCGGGCCGCGUAACCCAACCAAGUUAGUUAACGCGGGCCGCGAGAGGUUCAAAAGGUGGCGCAGCCCGGUGCGGCCACGUGGCCCAACACCCGGCAAACCUACUCGAUGACUCAGCCCAGCUACGCAUUGACUGGAGGUCAACGCGGGCCGCGUAGGCCCUGCCCCUAUGUUACGCGGGCCGCGAGAGAGACAAAAUUCAGCACUAUAUAUUGAACGCAUCGGAUUUCAUUCGGAGUUCGCUCACAAUCAUUUCUCAAUCUCAAAUUCUGAAUAUUAGGCAUAAUACGCGGGUAUUAUAUCCCCUAAUUAGCGAAGCUCUGCCUCGUUGUAAGUAUCAUAACCCAUGGAUACGUAUUAGAUACUCUGCCCGAUUGAUCUAGGGUUCCGUAACGGCUGUCGUGGUUCUGCCCGACGUAGUCGUUGGAAUGCCGUCUCGGGGAGGAUUAUAACCAGGGAAUCACAAAGGAAAGCCCUAUAAUAGCAAUGUGAGUUAUCCUCUUUUUGUUAAAUGUUUUUACAAAACCUUACAUACUUUUCCAUGCGAAUAACAGUUAUUGAGUAUUUGUAAGAAUACAAUUAUCGUGGGUAUGUUGGGGUUUUGUAUACAAAAUUGGUUACAACCUGGUUAAGGAGUAACAUUUCCACAACUCGGGUGUCGACAGUACCAACGGGUGAUAAUUGAUAUAACUUGGAAACAAAUGUAAUUGCGGGAUCGCCCUCAAUACUGUUCACUGUGACUUUUUAUUUAAACUUGAUUAAACUGGGAUUCACUCACCAGUAUUUCCUGCUGAUAAAAUGUUUUAAACAUGUGUUUCAGGUAACUUAGUAUGAAGCCAAUAAAAGCCAGCUGGAGAGCACUGAAGGCUUGGAAAAGUGGCAAUGAAGUUACCUAAAAUAAAAUAGAUGGUUUUUUUUAAAAAUAGGAUUUAUUCAUAUAAAAAUGUAUGUACUGCAAAACUUGGGUUUUAUCCCAUAUGUUUAAUAUUAUGAAAAUAAGGUGGUUUUACU
rnacentral:lncRNA from 1 species